rnacentral:rRNA from 1 species
GAGUUUGAUUCUGGCUCAGGACGAACGCUGGCGGCGUGCCUAAUACAUGCAAGUAGAACGCUGAAAGAAUAGCUUGCUAUUCUGGAAGAGUUGCGAACGGGUGAGUAACGCGUAGGUAACCUACCUCAUAGCGGGGGAUAACUAUUGGAAACGAUAGCUAAUACCGCAUAAGAAUACUUAUUGCAUGAUAAGUGUUUAAAAGGAACAACUGUUUCACUGUGAGAUGGACCUGCGUUGUAUUAGCUAGUUGGUAAGGUAACGGCUUACCAAGGCGACGAUACAUAGCCGACCUGAGAGGGUGAUCGGCCACACUGGGACUGAGACACGGCCCAGACUCCUACGGGAGGCAGCAGUAGGGAAUCUUCGGCAAUGGGGGCAACCCUGACCGAGCAACGCCGCGUGAGUGAAGAAGGUUUUCGGAUCGUAAAGCUCUGUUGUCAGCCAAGAACUGUA